rnacentral:rRNA from 1 species
GGCGGACGGGUGAGUAACGCGUAAAGAACUUGCCCUUUAGACUGGGAUAACAGAGGGAAACUUCUGAUAAUACUGGAUAAGUUAGUAUAUCGCAUGAUAUACAAAAUGAAAGCUACGGCACUAAAGGAGAGCUUUGCGUCCUAUUAGCUAGUUGGUAAGGUAAGAGCUUACCAAGGCGAUGAUAGGUAGCCGGCCUGAGAGGGUGGACGGCCACAAGGGGACUGAGAUACGGCCCUUACUCCUACGGGAGGCAGCAGAA